rnacentral:rRNA from 2 species
UCCAAGUUGCUUCGGCGGCGCGGCACCCCUUAACGGGGGCGCCGCAGCCCUGCCUCUCCGGAGGUUCGGGGCGCCCGCCGGAGGUACGAAACUCUGUAUUAUAGUGGCAUCUCUGAGUAUAAAACAAAUAAGUUAAAACUUUCAACAACGGAUCUCUUGGUUCUGGCAUCGAUGAAGAACGCAGCGAAAUGCGAUAAGUAAUGUGAAUUGCAGAAUUCAGUGAAUCAUCGAAUCUUUGAACGCACAUUGCGCCCGGUAGUACUCUACCGGGCAUGCCUGUUCGAGCGUCAUUUCAACCCUCAAGCCCUGCUUGGUGUUGGGGCCCUACGGCUGCCGUAGGCCCUGAAAGGAAGUGGCGGGCUCGCUACAACUCCGAGCGUAGUAAUUCAUUAUCUCGCUAGGGAGGUUGCGGCGUGCUCCUGCCGUUAAAGACCCAUCUUUAACCAAGGUUGACCUCGGAUCAGGUAGGAAUACCCGCUGAACUUAAGCAUAUCAAUAAGCGGAGGAAAAGAAACCAACAGGGAUUGCCCUAGUAACGGCGAGUGAAGCGGCAACAGCUCAAAUUUGAAAUCUGGCUUCGGCCCGAGUUGUAAUUUGUAGAGGAUGCUUUUGGUGAGGUGCCUUCUGAGUUCCCUGGAACGGGACGCCAGAGAGGGUGAGAGCCCCGUAUAGUCGGCCACCGAUCCUUUGUAAAGCUCCUUCGACGAGUCGAGUAGUUUGGGAAUGCUGCUCAAAAUGGGAGGUAUAUCUCUUCUAAAGCUAAAUAUAGGCCAGAGACCGAUAGCGCACAAGUAGAGUGAUCGAAAGAUGAAAAGCACUUUGAAAAGAGGGUUAAAUAGCACGUGAAAUUGUUGAAAGGGAAGCGCUUGUGACCAGACUUGUGCCGGGCUGAUCAUCCAGUGUUCUCACUGGUGCACUCGACCCGGCUCAGGCCAGCGUCGGUUUUCGUGGGGGGAUAAAAGCUUCGGGAACGUGGCACCUUCGGGUGUGUUAUAGCCCGUUGCUUAAUACCUCCGUGGAGACCGAGGU